CCCACCUCCCCUUUCCCCUUUCUCCUUCACAGACCAUACUUUGCCUUUUAAAAGAAAUGCCACCCACAUUCAGAGACACAAGUGCAGCAGUUUGGUGAGCUUUUACAACAUUUUUUUUUUCUGUUUUGUUCUAAUUAAAUGUAUCGUCCUGGGAAUCGCAGCCCAUCGCAGCCCGACUCCAGUUCAAGGAAAUAAACAGAUUAGCAAAGGUCUGUUCGCUAAGCCCUCGUUGGGCUUCCGG
rnacentral:lncRNA from 1 species